GAUCCGUCCGCGCUCGCUGCCCCCGUGUAGUUCUCGAGUCGUCUGUCCUCGGCGGCGGUCCGCGGGUGACAUGCAGUCCCUCAUCUCUCCGGUGACCAAGGCUAUCCUGGUGGCUUUGUUCAUCUUCGCCAUCCUGCUGAUCCUCUACGUGAUUCUGUGGUACAUCUGCCGCGAUGUGGAUUGCGACCAUGGGAUCUGAGCGGCGCCGCGGGGCCAGGGCUUAGGAGCCGGGAUUCACCCCGCGGGGCCGGGAGCGGCAGCGGGAGCCCCUCCGGGCGGCAGCCGCCGCCACCGCGGCCGAGCAGGGGAAGAGAAGGGGAAGGAAAGAAAAGAAGAAAAAAAGAAAAAAAAAAAAAAAAGCGAGCGAAGGACCGAGCCGAAAGAGCCCGGAGGACAACUGCGAUCAAGAAACCAACCUGAGCUUGACCUUCAGAGACCAGGGUGACCCGGAUUUUCAGCUGUAUGAAGCAAUCAUUGGUGGAGUCCAGAAACUGCAUCUGUAAACUCAGUCUCAUGGCAUUUGGGCAGCUUGUGUACCAGCAACUGAAGCUCUCCAUCGGUACUGUGAAACUUCACUUUCUUGGAUGAACUGUGCAAAACUGCAUCAGUGUAUCUGCCUAACAAAUGCUCCCUGAAGAACGCGAAGAUCCUGAACGAGUUUGCAAGGGCGCCCUGCUAGCUUGCACGCAUCAUCCGUGCCCUCAGUGCCCAGUUCAUGGCCAUAACCUCCUGCUCCCUCCUGCUCUCAGCUCGAGCACUGGGCAGGCUGGGUGAGGCUGCAGAAGCGGGCGUCUGGCUCUGGGGGUCUGUGCCACAGUGUCCCUUCGUCAAGACAUCAGCCGUCACACAUGAGCUUUCCCUUCUCCAGCCUGGAAGAGGCACCUGUGGAGCAAGACUGAACUUGAACUGAAGUGAGAAGAUGGACAACAAAGUGUGAUGUUCCUGAGUUUGCCAAAAAUAUUUUACUUACCAAACGACACAGCUUUCAUGGGCUGAGAAACCUUUAGCAGAGAGGAACUGUGCAGCAGGAAAUCUGGGCUCAUUUCGCUGUACAUAUCAGGCUGUGGCCAAUACCAAAGUAGCUGUGCUGACAUGUGAAAAGUCAUCUGAUGAAAGGCCACUGCCAAACAGGCCCAACUCGGAGGAGGAAUAGCCUUAAUACAUUCUUUUUCUUGGUUUUGGUUCCAGAAGAUGUCUGUGUCUCAUGACUGUAAUAAUACUCAAUCAUCAUGCUAUAAUGAAGGGCUUUUCAUGUAAUCAUCUGUAGAACUGAUUACUUUGGUCUAUACUCUUGUCAUGCUGAGCUUCCUGGCAAAAUUCCCACUGACAUCAGUAAGAGAAGGAUUGGAACUUUCCUCAGCAGUUUACUGCUUUUGUUUGACAAUACCAUGCUUUUCAGACACUUCAGAGUGGAGAUUAAGCAUUUAGACUCUUAAUGCCUGAAAUAUUAAAAAGGCAUUGUAGAGAUAA